UCUCUGAUUUUGCAGAUAAGGACU
rnacentral:miRNA from 1 species